GACGAACGCUGGCGGCGUGCUUAACACAUGCAAGUCGAACGGAAAGGCUCCAGCUUGCUGGCGUACUCGAGUGGCGAACGGGUGAGUAACACGUGGGUAAUCUGCCCUGCACUCUGGGAUAAGCCUGGGAAACUGGGUCUAAUACUGGAUAUGACCUUUCUCCUUAUGGGGUUUGGUGGAAAGUUUUUCGGUGUAGGAUGAGCCCGCGGCCUAUCAGCUUGUUGGUGGGGUGAUGGCCUACCAAGGCGACGACGGGUAGCCGGCCUGAGAGGGUGAUCGGCCACAUUGGGACUGAGAUACGGCCCAGACUCCUACGGGAGGCAGCAGUGGGGAAUAUUGCACAAUGGGCGGAAGCCUGAUGCAGCGACGCCGCGUGAGGGAUGACGGCCUUCGGGUUGUAAACCUCUUUCAGCAGGGGCGAAGCGUAAGUGACGGUACCUGCAGAAGAAGCACCGGCUAACUAUGUG
rnacentral:rRNA from 1 species